UUGUGAGGAAGUCCAGAAAAGGAAUGUUGCAAAUGGCCUGGUGAAUAUUACUCACUGUAAUUUCUUUGGGAAUCCUGGUCCAAAAAACAAAGGGUGUUACCAGGUGAAAUUCUCUCACGUAUAUCUCAUCAUUUAUUCACUUAACUCAUCACAGGGACCAUCCCAGGCAGAGGCCCCGUGGAGAGGGCUCCUGAGCCACAGACAUAGCUUAGGGCCACUCUGGGGUGAGGACUGCCUUCCUGUCAUAGGCAUGAGAAGGAUGUCAACAAGUUGGUUGAAUAAUUAGGAAAAAAGAUUCUGAGAACUGAGAAAAGAGAAAGAAAACAAAGCGGAUGGCAGAACGGAAUGACACAUUUGUGAGUGAGUCUCAGCAGACCGAAAGCUGAGUCAAAGCACCACAAAACUCUGGGACCUUAUUUCCCAUCUCCUAGAAAGACGGGAGACGGAGCCACGCCAGGCCAGGCGUGAUGUUAAUCGUUCCAUCAAAAGCACCUAAGUCACUCUACCCCUCCAGGACAGGGAGCACAGAGGCUGGAGCGCAGUGGCGCGAUCUUGGCUCAGUGCAACCUCCGCCUCCCGGGUUCAAGCGAUUCUCCUGCCUCAGCCUCCCAAGUAGCUGGGAUUACCAGGCACCCACCUUCAGGAUCAUGUCCUCCACCACGGACGCAUACACGUUCCUGUGGAGUGCCACGGGCUGCAGGGUGAUCCCAAUCUGGAAAAGCAGAAGAAAGCCGUUUGUUCGUAUCGCUGCUUUAGAAACAGCCUCUCUCCAAACAAGCAUACCUCCCUGACAUGCAAAGCGAUGCCUGGUUGGAAGGAGGACUCUGCAAACAU
rnacentral:lncRNA from 1 species